GGGGACGUAGCUCAGCCUGGGAGAGCGCUGCGCUGAAGACGCAGGUGUCACGGAUUCAAAUUCCGUCGUCCCCA
rnacentral:tRNA from 1 species